CAGCAGCCGCGGUAAUACGGAGGGGGCUAGCGUUGUUAGGAAUUACUGGGCGUAAAGCGCACGUAGGCGGCUUUGUAAGUUAGAGGUGAAAGCCUGGGGCUCAACUCCAGAAUUGCCUUUAAGACUGCAUCGCUUGAACGUCGGAGAGGUGAGCGGAAUUCCGAGUGUAGAGGUGAAAUUCGUAGAUAUUCGGAAGAACACCAGUGGCGAAGGCGGCUCACUGGACGACUGUUGACGCUGAGGUGCGAAAGCGUGGGAGCAAACAGGAUUAGAUACCCGUGUAGUCCCUGUCUCUUAUACA
rnacentral:rRNA from 1 species